UGUUCCUAAAUUAUUCCUCGAUGUGAUUUUGACACAUCGCGUGGUGCCGGCCGCGCACGCCUCUCAAACUGAAGCUCCACCUGCCUCCUGUCUUCAGAGCUUUGAUGUGAUUUCGAUUAGUAAUUAUUUAUAGCGAGCAGUCGAGGCGAUGUGCUAAGUAUGCCUGUAUGAUUUAAAUAUUUCUCAAGGCGAAGGUCAAGUUCAACGGCGGCCCGGCAACACUCGCGA